rnacentral:rRNA from 1 species
CUUGUCUCAAAGAUUAAGCCAUGCAUGUCUAAGUUCACACUGUCUCACGGUGAAACCGCGAAUGGCUCAUUAAAUCAGUCGAGGUUCCUUAGAUGACACGAUCCUACUUGGAUAACUGUGGCAAUUCUAGAGCUAAUACAUGCUUCCCAAGCUCCGACCCUCGUGGAAAGAGCGCUUUUAUUAGUUCAAAACCAAUCGUCGUUGUCCUUCGGGGCGCGGCGUCCCUACUGGUGACUCUGGAUAACUUUGUGCUGAUCGCAUGGCCUUUUGCGCCGGCGACGCAUCUUUCAAAUGUCUGCCCUAUCAAAUGUCGAUGGUACGUGACAUGCCUACCAUGUUUGUAACGGGUAACGGGGAAUCAGGGUUCGAUUCCGGAGAGGGAGCAUGAGAAACGGGUACCACAUCCAAGGAAGGCAGCAGGCGCGCAACUUACCCACUCCCGGCACGGGGAGGUAGUGACGAAAAAUAACAAUACGGGACUCUUUCGAGGCCCCGUAAUUGGAAUGAGUACACUUUAAACCCUUUAACGAGGAUCUAUUGGAGGGCAAGUCUGGUGCCAGCAGCCGCGGUAAUUCCAGCUCCAAUAGCGUAUAUUAAAGUUGUUGCAGUUAAAAAGCUCGUAGUUGGAUCUCAGGCGCAGGCGGGCGGUCCGGCUCGCGCCGGCUCACUGCCCGUUGUUCCUGCCCUACCCGUCUGUCGGCUCUCUCCCGCGGGUGCUCUUCACUGAGCGUCCCGGGUGGCCGGCGCGUUUACUUUGAAAAAAUUAAAGAAAUUCUUGGAUCGCCGCAAGACGAGCUACUGCGAAAGCAUUUGUCAAGAAUGUUUUCAUUAGUCAAGAACGAAAGUCAGAGGCGCGAAGACGAUCAGAUACCGUCGUAGUUCUGACCAUAAACGAUGCCAACCCGCGAUCCGCAGGAGUUGCUUCGAUGACUCUGCGGGCAGCGUCCGGGAAACCAAAGUUUUUGGGUUCCGGGGGAAGUAUGGUUGCAAAGCUGAAACUUAAAGGAAUUGACGGAAGGGCACCACCAGGAGUGGAGCCUGCGGCUUAAUUUGACUCAACACGGGAAAACUCACCCGGUCCGGACACUGUAAGGAUUGACAGAUUGAUAGCUCUUUCUUGAUUCGGUGGGUGGUGGUGCAUGGCCGUUCUUAGUUGGUGGAGCGAUUUGUCUGGUUAAUUCCGAUAACGAACGAGACUCUAGCCUAUUAAAUAGUUCGCCGGUCCCACGAUGCGCCGGCGCAACUUCUUAGAGGGACGAGUGGCGUUUAGCCACACGAGAUUGAGCAAUAACAGGUCUGUGAUGCCCUUAGAUGUCCGGGGCCGCACGCGCGCUACACUGAAGGAAUCAGCGUGGAUGCCUCCCUGGUCCGAAAGGACUGGGAAACCCGUUGAAUCUCCUUCGUGCUAGGGAUUGGGGCUUGUAAUUAUUCCCCAUGAACGAGGAAUUCCCAGUAAGCGCGAGUCAUAAGCUCGCGUUGAUUACGUCCCUGCCCUUUGUACACACCGCCCGUCGCUACUAUCGAUUGAGCGGUUCAGUGAGGGCCUCGGAUUGGUCACGGCCUGGUGUGCAAAUGCCGGCGCCGUCGGCCGAGAAGACGCUCGAACUCGAUCGCUUGGAGAAAGUAAAAGUC